UGACUGUGAGUAAAUAAAUGUACACAAAAUAUCAAUAUUUGAUCUGCGAAAAUACUUCACUGCAAGAUGUUUGAAUAAAAUACUCAUUCCCUGUAAGCAUGCAGUAUUUGGAAAGAAAACUAAGGUGGAUGUGACUGAUCUUGGAAUCCAGAAAUACUCCUCUGUCUUCUGAGGCACAAGAGUGGCAAGAACUAUGGAGAAGGAGUCCUUGGAAUUUGAUAUGAGAUAUCAUCUGAAGAUACAGAAGCAGAAGAAGAGAGAGUCCUCUCUUAGACAAAAUAUACCUCAAAGGAUUAGUCUCCAUCUUUCCUUCACGUCCCACAUCUUCUCUAAAACAGUGACUCUCAAGUAUCUUCAGACACCUCAUUUCUCCUUACCUGCUUCUCAUUAGAUAGAUGAAAUGUACCUAAAGAAGUGUCAGACCAAAGAACAUUAGAGUCAAGGACAGAGAUGAAAACUGGCCCUGGGCUUCAGAGAUUCAACUGACCCACAUGCUAUAGAAGACACCGUGUGAACUGAAGCAUGUGUAUUGAAAAUCAUUCAGCUGCCUUCUCCUUGCUGGCUGAGAUGAACCCCAUUAGCAUCAAAAGGACAAUUCAGGGUGAACUUGUAAAAGAGGAAUUGCCUUUUAUCCUUAUAAAUAAGUAAAGUGAACCCUUAAUGCCUCACUCUGCACGAU